CAAAAGCAGGAAAGAAAAUACAAGCAAUAACUGAUUCAUCACCUCCUCACUCCUGUUAGUCUAUUACUUAGAAACAGAACUCAAAUCCUACUAUUUUAGAAUCAAAAUUCUAACCCCAACCUUAGCUCAAUUUCCCCAAUUUGACGACAUUGACUCGUGUUCUGCGUUCCUUUCUCUCGCCAUUGUCCUAGAAGGUUCUUUCAAGUGGAUGCGCAGCUCCAUGGAGGCUUGCUCGGGCGGCGCGAGUGAGUUUCAUGGUUGAUUACGGAGGCGCGUUGGUCUCCGAUCUCUCCCAGACGAACGCUUGGAUGGCAUUUAGAAUCAAAAUCAUGAAUAACCCUAAAUCCCUAAUCCCAUCCCUAACACAAUUUCCCCAAUUUCACAACACUGAUACGCGCAUUCUGCGUUUCUCUCUGCUCCGCCGAGUUCUGCUCUACUCCGUCGUGUUCUUCUGCUCCGCCGUGUUCUUCUCCUUGCAUCGAGUUCUGCUUUGCUCCACCAUGUUCUUCUGCUCGGGCCGAGGUUUGCUCUGCUCCGCUAUGUUCUUUUGCUCGCACCUUGUUCUUCGUUCUCUCGCGCUGAGUUCUGCUCCACUUCUCCGUAUUCUAAAUUGGGAGAAGUAGCUACUUAUGCAAAAAUAGUGAGAAAUGUGACCUUGUUUUUCUUUUCCUUAAUGUUUCAAGAAUUUCAUGUAACUCAAUUAGAUUACAGAAAGGCUAUCUGCAGAUAAAUGUGAGGCAGAGUUGUUAAGCAAGAAAUAUGAGGAGAAGUAAAAACAUUGUAGCGGAAAUAAGAUCCAAAUUGAUUGUUGAAGAAGCUAAAUUUCGUGAUAUACAGUUUGAAUGGGCUUGGCAGCACCCUGUCGAAUCCUUGGCCGUAAGGAAGGCAGCUGCAAAUUUUAAAUCUCUUUCGAGAGUUGCCAAUAAGAUCAAACUCGCAUACACAAUUCUCACCUACCAUCUUGGCAGAGCAUGAAUAUGACAGUGAACUUCUUCUCCACAAAGUAUAUGAAACAUUGUGCUGGUUGCCCAAGCUUGCCAGAGCACAUGACGAUUGAGAUGGGCGAAAUGGAUGAACUCCCAUGCUAUAUAGUGGGAGAAUUGAUGGUUUGGUAUCAGAUAAGGAUGACGUUGAUGAAGGGGAGUUUGGGCUAUGCUGCUGGAAAUGCAACUCCAAGUCUUUUUUAAAAAUGUGGAGAAAGCAUUUCUCAAAAAGUAUUAGGCCAAAUGAAAAGCAGACCAUGCUGGUCGAAGAAAUGUCUAAGAAAAGGAUUGUUUCUUCACGUGAGAAUAUAUCUACUCAUGAGUUUAAUGAGUCAUCACCCGUUGAUCAAUUUGAAUCCUCUCAAUCCAUAGAGUCUGAACCUACUUUAUCUACUAGUUCAGAAGUUUCACAUGUUCCAUUAGAUGUAGCAGAAAGAAAGUCCAACAAGUACUGGACAGUUGAUUUGGAAGAUGCAACUGGAAUGAUUAAGGAAUGUCACUUAAGGUUGAAAGAUAUGUGGGUGCUGUCUCGUGAGACUAAAAUUAUUGUGCAUUGGAAUGAGCAUGGCCAACUAAUUGGUGAAUCUGGUGGCCUUUUAGGCUUAUUUUUAGGAGCUGUUGCUGAAAAUUUCAAAAACUUUCCUAUAAGUUAUGAGAAAUGGCCUUUGGUUCCAACAGAGCCAUACAAAAAUGGAGCCUAUAGAGAUAUUAUUCAGAGAUUCUUUAAAGUUGAUGAUGGAAAGCAAAAGAAGUACAUACUACAAAAUCUUGGCAGAAAGUAGAAAGAUGAUACAUGCAAAUUGUUUAAUGACAAUUAUAACUGGAAUUUUACUAGAGAGCAAAAUAUAGUGUCGUGUCCAAAAGGAGUUCGAGUCAGCUUAGAGCAAUGGGCAACUUUUAUUGAUUAUAGAUUAAGGUCAAGAACUCAGAAAAUGUGUGAGAAAAAUGCAAGUAAUCGAAAAAAACAAACAAUUCUUCAUACACUCGGAUCCAAGAUGAUUGCUAGGAAGAAACACGAGUUGGAAACUGCGAACAAGAGAGUUUUUACUAAAGCUGAAAUAUAUCCAAUUAGUCAUAAGAAGAAUGAUGGAUCUUUUGUUAAUGAUGAGGCUAGAGAGAAAAGUGAACAAUUAGCUUUGCUUCAAGCUAAUGAGGGUUCUCCUACUGAUGAUGCAUAUACCAAGUUAUUUGGAAAAGAACACCAGGGUUGUGUUAGAGGUGUAGGAUUUGGUGUCUGUCCAUUCCGAGUCAUGAAAACUGCUAAUAGUUUAAGAGGAGUAUCUUGUUCAUGCAAUCAUGACUUUAAUAUGGCUAAAGUUCACUGUAUGGAAGUAGAAUUAUAAGAGAAUAAAGCAAUAAUUUCCUUAUUACAAGUUCAAGUGACAUAUUUUAUUAAUCAUUGUAUGGGUGGAAAAGUGCCACAUGACUUUCCUACAGCUACAAAUAAUGGGGUUGCAGACUCACCAAUGGAGACAAGGCCACCUUCUACUAUUCCAUGACUUGAUUAUAGAGUUUUAUGAUUGAAUUGACCGAAGACUUUUGUUAUCAAAGUGACUGUUUAUUUUAGGCUUUUAGCAUAGUUAAAUAAUAGAAGCAAAA